rnacentral:rRNA from 1 species
CCUACGGGAGGCUGCAGUGGGGGAUAUUGCACAAUGGGGGGAACCCUGAUGCAGCGACGCCGCGUGGGUGAAGGAGCGUUUCGGCGCGUACAGCUCUAUCGGCAGGGAAGAAGAUGACGGUACCUGACCAAGAAGCCCCGGCUAACUACGUGCCAGCAGCCGCGGUACUACGUAGGGGGAAAGCGUUAUCCGGAUUGACUGGGUGUAAGGGGGGCGGCGACGGGAAUGCAAGCCAGGAGGGAAAGCCCGGGGCCAAACCCGGGGACUGCUCGUGGAACUGCAUGGCUGGAGUACAGGAGGGGCAGGCGGAAUUCCUAGUGUAGCGGUGAAAUGCGUAGAUAUUAGGAGGAACACCGGUGGCGAAGGCGGCCUGCUGGACUGUGACUGAUGUUGAGGCCCGAAGGCGUGGGGAGCAAACAGGAUUAGAUACCCGUGUAGUC